UGUGCUAAGGGUUUCUUUUUGCCCUUCAGCGCUAGUCCGGAAGCAUACAUGC
rnacentral:snoRNA from 1 species